AUGAACAUUGCCCUCCUGUCCCGUUCGUUCUGGCGCAUUGCUAAUGGCGACGGAGGCCUUUGGCUCACCAUCAUCCGAAACAAGUACCUUCGAGGACAGCCACUCGCAUUCUGUCAGCGCUCAGGCGGCUCCUAGUUUUGGCAGGCCGUCAUCCAGCUGCUACUUGUCCUUCGCAUUGGCACAUCCAUCUCGGUUGGUACUGGGUCCUCGACCGUAUUCUGGUUUGAUCGGUGGAUUGGCGACAUCCCCUUGGCGGCGCGAUUUCCGGAGCUAUUCGCCAUUGCUAUUGACCCUCGGGUCUCUAUUGAGUCGGCCCAUAUUGACUUAGGGCGCCUCUCUUUUCGCCGCCCCUUUGGCCCGCCUGAAGUGGCCGCUUGGAAUGCCCUCCUCCAGGACAUCGCCCUUCUCCCGAUGAACGUCACCGACACCCCGGACGCCAUUUCUUGGCGUCUGGAAUCAUCCGGCUGCUUCUCCACCAAAUCCCUCUACGCGGCCAUCGCCCCCUCGACGGCCCUCGAGCCCCUCAGUCUGAUAUGGGACAUCCGCUUGCCCCUGAAAAUUAGGAUCUUCCUAUGGAAAUGGAUCCGCGGACGCCUCCCGUCCGGCGUGGAGGUCCUCAAGCGUAAUGGACCUCGAGAUGGGAUUUGUCCCCUGUGCGGCACGGUGGAGGAUGCUAAUCACAUCUUCUCGUGCUCCAUGGCCCAGUUUCUCUAA
rnacentral:rRNA from 1 species